rnacentral:rRNA from 1 species
AUUGGACGCUGGCGGCAGGCUUAACACAUGCAAGUCGAGCGGAUGAUGGGAGCUUGCUCCUGGAUUCAGCGGCGGACGGGUGAGUAAUGCCUAGGAAUCUGCCUGGUAGUGGGGGACAACGUUUCGAAAGGAACGCUAAUACCGCAUACGUCCUACGGGAGAAAGCAGGGGACCUUCGGGCCUUGCGCUAUCAGAUGAGCCUAGGUCGGAUUAGCUUGUUGGUGAGGUAAUGGCUCACCAAGGCGACGAUCCGUAACUGGUCUGAGAGGAUGAUCAGUCACACUGGAACUGAGACACGGUCCAGACUCCUACGGGAGGCAGCAGUGGGGAAUAUUGGACAAUGGGCGAAAGCCUGAUCCAGCCAUGCCGCGUGUGUGAAGAAGGUCUUCGGAUUGUAAAGCACUUUAAGUUGGGAGGAAGGGUUGUAGAUUAAUACUCUGCAAUUUUGACGUUACCGACAGAAUAAGCACCGGCUAACUCUGUGCCAGCCGCCGCAGUAAUAC